GCUUCAUUUUAAAGCCCGGUUGAAAAUGAUUACUGCAGAAUAUUGUCAUAAUGCAACCUGCCACGGCUUGGAAUUUAGUGUAAAGUUAAAUAACCUAUCUGGGGGAGUGUUCUUAAUCAAGUAACCAAAAAGAGCUUGUCUUGAGAGAUUUCAUUAGCAAGACAGGGCCAUAGCAUGGGUGACGUAAGCACUGGCUGAGCAUUCCAUUUAGUAUUUAGUAGGUGAAAGUUACUUAGUAAGGGCUCUCUUGGAUUUAAGAUCUCAGAAAUUCCCUCUGUCUUUCUUUUUCUAUUUCUGUCUCUAUCUCUCUCUUUCUCUCUUCCCAUCUCUUCUUCCUUCCACCCCCCCCACCCUUUCUUUCUUGAGCUCAGUGGAUUAGUGAAAUUUGUAAACCCCUGCAAAUUUCCUAUCCUCUGUAACUGUGACAGUGGAGCUCUCUCUAACACAACUUUUGAUGCAGAAAAUGGAGCCAUUAUGCCAAGUAUAAAAUAACUUCUCUCCCCUGCAUUGCUCCAGCAGAAAUCUCUCUUCUCACCAUCCUCUCACAUGACAGAGUACAUUUUGAUUCUUUUUCUCAUGAGUACAAGCACCUGCUUUGCUACCUACCUGGUGAAGUUUAGUUAGGUACCUUGUCUCCUUCUUGCCUACUGUGUAUUUGGGGAAUUGAGGUUGGGGAAACUCUGGCAGAUGAAAUAUGCAGGCGUGGGGGCAAAGAGUGCCAGGGUUAAGGAUGGAAUCUACAUUUUUUGUAUCCAGGGCCAGAAUAAACUUGUUACACUGUGUAGGUAUGCAAGAGGCCAUUUCAGUUCUCAAGUGGCUUGUUUACGCUUGGGUGUGAGGGACAGGUUCAUUUCUGUUCCAUUUCUGCCUUGCUCUGUUGUCCUUUCAUUAUGGAAUCAUGCAGUCAACAUUAGGCAGCACGUGGAUAGGGCCAGGAGGAAGUGACAUACCACCACAGAAGGUACAUAUCCAUGACAGGACUAGUCACAGAGAGUAAGUUGUCUGGCUAGACUGGAAUUAAGAGAUUUUUAAAUUUCUCAGGUCUCAGCAUCCCUCCUUUUCAAAAUGGAGAAAUUGGUCUAAAAUACAAAAUGAUCUCCAAGAUCUUUCCGGCUCCACAAUCAUGCAUUGAGCUUAAAGUAUGAUUUUAAUUAUUCUGUUCUCCCAGAACCCAUCACCAGCACAUCACUUCUGAUUUUCUCUUGGGUAUAUUUGUUAUCUUAAAGGCCCCCCUAAGUUUUAACAACUUAAGAUGGAACAAGAGUUGUUACAUAUCACAUUUGAAUGUUGUUUCUGUCAUAAGAAAGCAUUCAGUUCUCUCAAAGGAGUAGGAUGUAAAAAUCAUUCCUUAAUUAGUUUUGGUAGGUUGUGAUUGUGUGUGCAUUGGGGGGGGUUGUGAAGAAAGCGAAGAGAAAUAGAAGAUGAGAAGCAUUAUUUAAAAAAUUCUUAAUUUAAGCAGAAAAAAAUACUCCUAGGAGGGGACUUAUUUCAUGAGACUUUUCCAUUUUAGGGGCAUUUAGUAAAUUUAAUAAAAUGUAGUCUCCAAAAUGAUGAUUCAAUAGCCACACUCAGGAGGUCUUCUUUGGCAAAUGAACUUGGGGACUGGGUUAAAACUAGGAUCCCUUGGUGCCAGGCAGGAGUCCUCCCCACCUGUGGAAGAUGCAUUUGCAGCCAUGUCCCACAUUGCUAGGUUACAUGGGGAAAAAAAUCACAUUGGCAAAAACCACUUUCAUAGUUUAAACAACAAAUCCUCCAGCCCAGAGAUCACCCAUGGGGCUUAGGAUCAGUGAAUAGAAUGCUGAUCUAGAGAGCCUUACAAAUCUGGAGAAAAUUACCUUCAGCUGCAUGAUGAAUUUCAAGAAAUAUCAUUUUUAUUUUUAGAACACAAUGACUAAUACCAUACUUAACCUUGGGAUUCUGACAUUACAUGAGCCAUGGUGUGGUCCAGCAUUGGCAUACAUAGUGAUGAAGCUGCUUUGUCAGAGAUUUAUCUGAGGGCUUUUAUGCUAUUCUGACAUUAAGAUUAAAAAAAGAAAAAAGCAUAUAAGCAGGCAAACAAAUCAAACUUUGUGUUUUUAUCUAAGAGAGAUUGAAAGACAUUUUAUUUUCUAAAGUAAAACAUUUGUCUAAAUUCCUUUUGUUUAAAUGAAUUGUCUUCCUCCCACACUUUGGAAGGCUAUUCUGGGUGCUGAUUAUAAGUUUGGAAAAACUUUUUAGUGGCAUGGUCUUUACUUGAUAAGGCUGACUUCUGCAAUCAUCUUGUACAGAGAUGGAAAAUUUUUUAGCACCACAUAUAGAAUCAUUAUAGUCAUUAAUCAAUAACUCACCACCUUCCUUCUUUCUCAAUUCUUGGUAACCUCUAUUCUACUUUCUGACUCUAUGAAUUUGCCUAUUCUAGACAUUUCAUAUAAGUGUAAUUAUAUGAUAUUUGUCCAUUUGUGUCUGGUCUAUUUCACUUACUGUAAAGUUUUUAAGGAUUAUCCAUAUUGUAGCAUAUAUACGAUCUUCAUUAUUUUUAUGGAUGAAUUUUAAUAUUCCAUUAUAAGUAUAGACCACAUUUUGUUUAUCCAUUCAUCUGUGAUGGACACUUGGAUUAUUUGGCUCUUGUGAAUAUGAUGCAGCUACUUAGCUUUUUAAAAUUCGUAAUAGACAUUUGCUGGAGUAUUUCUUCCUUGGAAGGUUAAUUCUUUAAGGGUCAAUUUUUAAAUAUCUUUGCUGGAGAAAAGAGUUUCCAGAUCCACCCUGGAAGCUCAGUAUAGUGCAAACCACACUCUUGCUUGGAAUAUUAAAUCAGAAAAAUCACUUCGGAUCUUCUAGUUCCACCAAGAUGAGCUAAGGACAAUCCCAGCAAUAUUACUGCCCUAGGAGCCCAGAUGAACCUAGGUAAUAAACAAUGCUCAGCAUCAAAUUUACAAGUAAAGGAGAAAUGAGAUUCUAAGAGAAGAGUGGCUAGAUAAGUACCAAAAGAGUAAGCAGCUGGGUGAGCCAUGUGGUUUUAGAGCUAAGGAUAAUGAGUCAGUCAGAGAUUUAUUCAAGAAAUAGAAAAACACUUUCAAUUCUUAAAGCAUGAAGAGAUUUAAUAUGGGGAACUUGAUUGUUUUCAAAAUUAUCAGAAGAACUGAUGGACUGGGUACUAAGAAGGCACUAGAAUGACUCUCAAAACCAUUCUUCACUGACCCCUAGGGGAGCUACUACCCCUGAAACUGUUGCUAGCUAAGAAUUCAAGAAUACUCUCUUGCCUCUGUGAUCCAGGGUUCUGGAACCUAGAAUCAGUGCAGUUGGUUGACUAACCAUUUCUUUCCUUUUGCUAAGGAGGUCUACUCAAGGAAAAAAAGAAAUGCUUAUAGAGCAGCACAGGGACUUCUCUGCCAUUCAGGGAGCCAUGAUCACACCCUCUCCAAUGAGAUCUGGAUCUCAGCCCUGGGUAGACCUCUUCCUGUGUACUAUAUCUCAACUCAGGGGUACAGCAAUGACCACAGCUCAUAAGAUCACCUGGGUGGACCAUUCAGCUGAUACAUAAUAGAGAAGAAUCAUUAGGAAAGGAUAUAAGAUUUCAGCAGAAAUUGAGAAGAAAUAUUGACGAGUAUUGCUUUAUGAUCUUGCAGCUGGCUGUCUCCUCCCUCUUUCCUACCCAGAGUAAGUCACCUACCACACAGGAUAAUAAUUUUUUCCUGGGACUCAGUGGAUCACUUCUAGGAAGAUAUAAGUAGGUUAUUUAGAACAUAAAAUCCAUUUAAUCAAAUCAAAUAAAGAGUAUGGCUCCUCUAUUAUAUUUUCUUUGGAUAACAAGUGAUAGUUGGGACAGGUGCAUAUUAUGAUUUUUACUUUCCCAGUCUGUUUCUUAGCCCUGCUGAAGUCUCCAAUUAGAUGCAUAUAGCUAUCAUUACAUUAGAAAAUUUUCAUUCAAGCUCUCUAGAUAAGUAUAGAUGACAACUGUCAUAAGAAAAAGCUUAAUAAGGGUAAUUCACAUUCAUGGUAAAUCCUAAAGCUGAAGUGAAUGCAUAUCAAGAAUAAUAACACAGGACUAAUUGAUCUACAUGGAUAAAAAGGAUAAAAUGGAGCCAUAUUUACACCUACAUUGGUUUUAUAUCCUAUGCUAUUUGAAUUCACAGCUUACUUUGAAAUGUCUUCGAAAGGUGCUAUUUGUUCAAUGAAUACACUUAAAAAUAACACCAGAGCUUCGGCUGAACCCUGGAGCGCCCAAGCAGAUUCCAAAGAUAGGAAAAGAAUUCUUAGCAUUUUACUAUACUAUGUGUGUUUUUAUUUCAUUUUUCAAAAAUAACCUCUACAUUUUUCAAAUAAAUAUUGCUCUUCUACAAGACACUGUGGUCUGGAAGCCUCAUCUUAUGUUAGGUGAAAGCAUCCUUAUGUCUUGGUGCUAUCUCCUGUGUUAACCAUUUCUGUAAGGCGUUGCUAACAGAUGUUCAAGAUGCAGUUCCUGAGAUCCAGCAUGUGCUGUGUCAGCCUGAGAGUUUGAAUCAUGCCAUAGGUAUACUUGAGCAUUACUCACACAUAUAAUGCAAUGACAAAUUUUUAUACCCAAAUUAUUGUUUCCUUAUACUCCUUAUGCUUCUGUAUGACAUGAUUUUUUUUUUUUUGCCUGCUUCACUCUUGUAGCCAUUACUGCCUUCUGAGUCAUCUUACAGUUAUUUGAAAUUUUGAUAUUUUUUAACUCUUUGGUAAAUUCCAGCCUGACCAUCUCUGUAUUUUCCAAAGCCCUAAUGAAGUUCCAUGAAUUUGAUUACAUUCAAUGUAUAUUUGUUGAGAUGGAAUUUUUUGUAUAGAUAUUAAUAAAGAUUAGGAUUAAUGCCCUAGUACUAUACUAAUCAUAUUAUCAAGCUUUCAGUCUAGUUGUGUUGCCAGGAAUACAAUUAAGCUCAUGGCCUAUCCAAUUCUCAGUAAUGAGAAGACAGGUUUGACAGUGUGGGAUGAUUAAGAUGCUUAAUGUUCAAUUAGCCUCCUUGGAUUAAGUCUAGUAAAGGAAAAGGCAGAUAAUUUAAAGUUGUAUUAUGGAGAAUAUUAUUUUACAAAAACCUUAAGAGAGCAAUUUGAAAAGGGCAUUGAUUGCUCAAAACUUAAAAUAUCCAAGGCAUCAUUUUGAAACUACAAAGACCAGAUAAAAGGGUUAUAAAUAUACUGAAAGUGAAUGGCACAGACUAGAAAACUGAAAAAUGUAGCAAAACUUGAUAUGAAGAAUUUAUUUAAUCUAGCAGAAAUAGGAAAAGGUGGACAAUAUAAAUGACUCCUAAAUCUACAGUGACAUCCAUUAUCAUAAAUUACCAACAUGAGGAAUGCUAUAAUAGUAAAUGUAAUUUUCUUGAGUCAUUACAUUUCAAAGACAUAUCACAUAGCUAGUAUAUAAAAAUACGGAUAAAAUGUGAACGGAUUUCCUCUACUGGGAAGCAAGGGAAUUUAUACUUUCUUGUGAAUCAUUGUGAGAAUGAAGUCAGUCAUAGGCAGUAGUGGAGCUGGGGUGUGUGUGUGGAAGGGUGUGUGUGUACCUACCAGUAAUUAAAUGCACUCCCAGAAUUUGGGAACCAACUUUGAACAUGAACUGGGUGAAAUUUGUCAUCAUCAGAGAUAAUCUGUUUUAAGAGACGGCUUCUGACUAUGCUGCUGCUAAGACAAGGAGCACCCAAAGCCUAAAUGUUCAAGGCUUAAUUUCUUUCAGAGCUUCAGUGUCAAAUCAUGCCUUUGUACAUGAAAGCUGCAUCCUAUUCCACAGAACGUGUGCUUUGGAAGGGACCUUGG